rnacentral:rRNA from 1 species
GCGAGCUGCCGGCAGGCAGCUGCGGGAAUACUGUGGGGGCUGGCUUCGGUCGGAAUCACUUGGCGGAAAGCUCGCGUAGGCGGCUGUUCAAGUCAGUGGUGAAAUCCUUUGGCUCAACCCAAGAACUGCCUGUGAAACUGUAAAGCUGGAGUGUCGGAGGGGAUAGCGGAAUUCCUAAUGUAGUGGUGAAAUACGUAGAUAUUAGGAGGAACACCGGUGGCGAAGGCGGCUAUCUGGACGACAACUGACGCUGAGGCGCGAAAGCGCGGGGAUCAAACAGGAUUAGAUACCCGUGUAGUC